UGACGUGGUGAAUUUACCACGUCAAAAAAUUUGACGUGGUGAAUUUACCACGUCAAAAAUUUUUGACGUGGUAAAACUGGAACGUCAAAAAAUUUUUUUUUGACGUUCCAGUUUCUGACACGUCAAAAAUUU